rnacentral:rRNA from 1 species
UAGGGAAUAUUGCACAAUGGAGGAAACUCUGAUGCAGCGACGCCGCGUGAGUGAUGAAGGCCUUCGGGUCGUAAAGCUCUGUCGCAGGGGAAUAACACAAUGAAUGUACCCUGUAAGAAAGGAUCGGCUAACUUCGUGCCAGCAGCCGCGGUAAGACGAGGGAUCCUAGCGUUGUUCGGAAUUAUUGGGCGUAAAGCGGGUGUAGGUGGCUUUGUAAGUCAGGUGUGAAAGCCUAGGGCUCAACCCUAGAAGUGCAUUUGAUACUGCGAAGCUUGAGUGUUGGAGAGGAUAGUAGAAUUGUUGGUGUAGUGGUAAAAUACGUAGAUAUCAACAGGAAUACCGGAGGCGAAGGCGGCUAUCUGGCCAAACACUGACACUGAGAUCCGAAAGCGUGGGGAUCAAACA